CCCUUAGAUGUCCUGGGCCGCACGCGGGCUACACUGACAUGUUCAACAAGCCUCCUAGUUCGACAGGAUUUGGGAAAUCUUUGAACGCAUGUCGUGAUAGGGAUAGAUCAUUGCAAUUAUUGAUCUUGAACGAGGAAUUCCUAGUAAACGCGAGUCAUCAGCUCGCAUUGAUUACGUCCCUGCCCUUUGUACACACCGCCCGUCGCACCUACCGAUUGAAUGUUUCGGUGAAGAUUCCGGAUAGGACUUUUUUGAUUUAUUUCAAUUUUGUCUUAAAAGCUAUCUAAACCUCAACAUUUAGAGGAAGGUGAAGUCGUAACA
rnacentral:rRNA from 1 species